GAGUAGGCUGAGCAAUGCGACGACAUGGUGGAAUCAAAGAAGAAAGUAGCAGGGGUGGAUGUGGAACUGACAGUUGAAGAAAGAAACCUUCGAUCUGUUGCAUAUAAGAAUGUGAUUGGAGCUAGAAGAGCUUCCUGGAGAAUAAUCAGCAGCAUCGAACAGAAAGAAGAAAACAAGGGAGGAGAAAACAAACUAAAACUGAUUGGGGAAUAUGGGCAAAUGGUUGAGACUGAGCUAAAGUUAAUCUGCUGCGCCAUUCUGGAUGUACUGGACAAACACCUCAUUCCAGCAGCUAACACUGGCGAGUCCAAGGUUUUCUAUUUCUACAAAAUGAAAGGGGACUACCACAGGGGUCCAGCAGAAUUUGCCACAGGAAAUGACAGCAAGGAACAGCCUAGUGGCUUAUAAAGCUGCUCAUGAUAUUGCAGUGACAGAACUUCCACCAACGCAUCCUAGUCGCUUAGGUCUUGCUCUCAACUUUUCCGUAUUCUACUAUGAAAUUCUUAAUUCCCCUGACCGUGCCUGCAGGUUAGCAAAAGCGGCUUGGGAUGAUGCAAUUGCAGAACUGGAUACGCUGAGUGAAGAAAGCUAUAAGGACUCUACACUUAGCAUGCAGUUGUUACGUGAUAAUCUGACGCUAUGGACUUCAUUCAAGCAGCGUGGUAGUCUGCAGAAUAAAGAGCAGAAUAGAUAA